ensembl:lncRNA
CUGGGCCUUUCAGCUGCUGUCGGUGUGGUGUGAGGAAGAAACAGGCAAAGAAGAUGAGGCGUAAGCACAGAGCUAAUCUUCUUAAACAGUCUCACAGUUGCAAAAAGAGUGCUUGAAAGAGCAACUGUAAGGAAGACGAUUCUAGUUUCAGAGGAACUUCCCAUCACUGUGAAAGAUACCUAAGGAUCAACAACUUAAAGGAGGAAAGAUUUAUUUCAGAGGUUUCAAUUCUUGGUCAUUUGGGCCUGUGGCAAAGCAGAGCAUCAUGGUAUGAGUAUAUGGUGGAGAAAAGCUGUUUACCUCAUGGUGGCCAGGAAGCAAAGUGAUAGAGACAGGAAGGGGCCAGGAUUCCCAUAGCUCCUUCAAGGUGUGCUCCCAUGAUGUCACUUCCUCCCACUUGGCCCCCAUCCUGAAGACUUUACCACCAAUAGCACCACAGGUUGGUCACCAAGUCUUUAACACAGAGAGUCUGGGAGAACAUUUAAUAUUAAAACCGUAAUGGGACUAGGAAGC